rnacentral:rRNA from 1 species
UACGAAGGGGGCUAGCGUUGCUCGGAAUUACUGGGCGUAAAGCGCACGUAGGCGGCUCUUUAAGUCAGGGGUGAAAUCCUGGAGCUCAACUCCAGAACUGCCUUUGAUACUGAAGAUCUUGAGUUCGGGAGAGGUGAGUGGAACUGCGAGUGUAGAGGUGAAAUUCGUAGAUAUUCGCAAGAACACCAGUGGCGAAGGCGGCUCACUGGCCCGGUACUGACGCUGAGGUGCGAAAGCGUGGGGAGCAAACAGG